GAUGAACGCUGGCGGCGUGCCUAAUACAUGCAAGUCGAGCGAACGGACGAUAAUCUUGCUUCUCUGAUGUUAGCGGCGGACGUGUGAGUAACACGUGUAUCACCUACCUAUCAGACUGGUAUAACUUCGGGAAACCGGCUCUAAUACCGGAUGAUAUUUUGAACCGCAUUGUUCAAAAGUGAAAGACGGUCUUGCUGUCACUUAUCGCUGGAUCCGCGCUGCAUUAGCUAGUUGGUAAGUUAACGGCUUACCACGGCAACGAUGCCUAACCGAACGGAGAGGGUGAUAGGCCACACGGGAACUGAGACACGGUCAAGACGACUAAGGGAGGCAGCAGUAGGGAACCGGACGCAAUGGGCGAAAGCAUGACGGAGCAACGCCGAGUGAGAGAUGAAGGUCUUCGGAUCGUAAAAAUCGGUUAUUAGGGAAGAACAGAUGUGUAAGUAAAUGAGCACAGCCUGACGGUACCUAAUCAGAAAGCCACGGCUAACUACGUG
rnacentral:rRNA from 1 species